GUUAUAUACAUCAUAACCCAGGGGUGGUCAAAUUGUUGUUAGAAUGUUAUAUACAUCAUAACCCAGGGUGGUCAAAUUGUUGUUAGAAUGUCAUAUACAUCAUAACCCAGGGGUGGUCAAAUUGUUGUUAGAAUGUUAUAUACAUCAUAACCCAGGGGUGGUCAAAUUGUUGUUAGAAUGUCAUAUACAUCAUAACCCAGGGGUGGUCAAAUUGUUGUUAGAAUGUUAUAUACAUCAUAACCCAGGGUGGUCAAAUUGUUGUUAGAAUGUUAUAUACAUCAUAACCCAGGGGUGGUCAAAUUGUUGUUAGAAUGUUAUAUACAUCAUAACCCAGGGGUGGUCAAAUUGUUGUUAGAAUGUUAUAUACAUCAUAACCCAGGGUGGUCAAAUUGUUGUUAGAAUGUUAUAUACAUCAUAACCCAGGGUGGUCAAAUUGUUGUUAGAAUGUUAUAUACAUCAUAACCCAGGGGUGGUCAAAUUGUUGUUAGAAUGUUAUAUACAUCAUAACCCAGGGGUGGUCAAAUUGUUGUUAGAAUGUCAUGUACAUCAUAACCCAGGGUGGUCAAAUUGUUGUUAGAAUGUUAUAUACAUCAUAACCCAGGGUGGUCAAAUUGUUGUUAGAAUGUUAUAUACAUCAUAACCCAGGGGUGGUCAAAUUGUUGUUAGAA